UACGAAGGGGGCUAGCGUUGCUCGGAAUCACUGGGCGUAAAGGGUGCGUAGGCGGGUUUUUAAGUCAGAGGUGAAAUCCUGGAGCUCAACUCCAGAACUGCCUUUGAUACUGAGAAUCUUGAGUAUGGGAGAGGUGAGUGGAACUGCGAGUGUAGAGGUGAAAUUCGUAGAUAUUCGCAAGAACACCAGUGGCGAAGGCGGCUCACUGGCCCGAUACUGACGCUGAGGUGCGAAAGCGUGGGGAGCAACAGG
rnacentral:rRNA from 1 species